rnacentral:rRNA from 1 species
CCUACGGGAGGCAGCAGUAAGGAAUAUUGGUCAAUGGACGGAAGUCUGAACCAGCCAUGCCGCGUGCAGGAAGACGGCCCUAUGGGUUGUAAACUGCUUUUGCAGGGGAAUAAACCUCGAUACGUGUAUCGAGCUGAAUGUACUCUGAGAAUAAGGAUCGGCUAACUCCGUGCCAGCAGCCGCGGUAAUACGGAGGAUCCAAGCGUUAUCCGGAUUUAUUGGGUUUAAAGGGUGCGUAGGUGGCCUGUUAAGUCAGGGGUGAAAGACGGUAGCUUAACUAUCGCAGUGCCCUUGAUACUGAUGGGCUUGAAUAAACUAGAGGUAGGCGGAAUGUGACAAGUAGCGGUGAAAUGCAUAGAUAUGUCACAGAACACCAAUUGCGAAGGCAGCUUACUAUGGUUUUAUUGACACUGAGGCACGAAAGCGUGGGGAGUACAACAGAGUAGUAUACCUACGUAGUACCGACCGACCCGUAACCGAACUAGAAUACUACGUAUGUUGGUCG